GCGUGAAGUUGGAAUUGCUAGUAAUCGCGGAUCAGCAUGCCGCGGUGAAUACGUUCCCGGGCCUUGUACACACCGCCCGUCACACCAUGGAAGUCGGUAAUGCCCGAAGUCAGUAGCCUAACCGCAAGGAGGGCGCUGCCGAAGGCAGGAUUGAUGACUGGGGUGAAGUCGUAACAAGGUAGC
rnacentral:rRNA from 1 species